AAGUUCUUAGACAAGUGAAAAAAGAUAAUUUCUAUUGAAGUAAUAUAGAAAUUAUCCUUUUCAUUAUUUUUUAGUAUUUUAAUAUAAAAUUAUGUACAAAUACGUAGUAUUUAUGGCAAGACUCCUGAGGGAACAGUACUAGUUGAAGACCUUAGAAAUUCUCACAGAUUUAUCUGUGUAGCAUUUCUGGCUGAAACUGUACCCUAGGAAUGCGAAGCCAUACAAUACGAAGUAUUGGAUAUAAAGAAAGCACUAA
rnacentral:ncRNA from 1 species